rnacentral:lncRNA from 1 species
UAUCGAAAACAAAUGGGUGGCAACGGAGCUCGUUUGCUAUCGAUAGUAUUCUAGUUCAACUCUCUCUCUCUCUCUCUCUCUCUCUCUCUCUCUCACUGAUAGAACUAGGCUACUAUACUAUCGGUAGCACGGAGCGCUCCGUGCUACCAAGUUGUUUUCGAUGAUGCGGCUUCCAAAUCGAGGAUCGGGUCCGUUAGACUUGAUCUACACUAUUGAAAGUAUUUAGAAACUAAAUUUCAUAAUUUUUCAAUAUCAUUUACCUAUCAAACAAGUAGUUUAAAAUUGAACGGAUGAAAAUAAAAAUCUCAUAAAAAAUGAUGAUAAAAGAUUUAAAUUCAAGAUCAGAUAUACUGAUUUCACUCUAAAUAGUGAAAAGAAUUUUCUAUAAAAUUUUCAUUGCAUUUGAAUUGUUUUACACCAUUAAACUAACAAACACACCACAUCGGCCAUUAAAAUUGUCAAUUUUGAAAUCUUUUGAUCACUAGUCAAAUGAUAUCGACAAAAUCUGAAAUUUAGCUUCCAAAUACUUUCAAUAGUGUAGAUCAAGUCUAACGAAGCCGAUCGUCAAUUUGGAAGCCGCAUCAUCAAAAAUAACUUG